CCAGCAGCCGCGGUAAUUCCAGCUCCAAUAGCGUAUAUUAAAGUUGUUGCAGUUAAAGCGUCCGUAGUUGAUAUUUGAUUGAUUCGCUCCAUUUUGACAGCUUUAUAGUUGUUUUGGUGUGUAAUUAAUCCUGAUUACGGUUUCCGUUAAUCAAUGUUACUUUGAGUAAAUUGGAGUGCUCCAAGCAAGCUUUACGCUUGAACAUCUCAGCAUGGAAUAACAAGAUAGGACCAUUGUCUCACUUGUUGGUUCGUGGACUUUGUGUAAUGAUUGAUAAGGACAUUCGGGGGCAUUUGUACUUGCUGGAGAGAGGUGAAAUUCUAAGACCCAGCAAAGACAAACAA
rnacentral:rRNA from 1 species